rnacentral:rRNA from 1 species
AACGCUGGCGGCAGGCUUAACACAUGCAAGUCGAGCGCCCCGCAAGGGGAGCGGCAGACGGGUGAGUAACGCGUGGGAAUCUACCCAUCGCCUACGGAAUAACGCAUGGAAACGUGUGCUAAUACCGUAUACGCCCUUAGGGGGAAAGAUUUAUCGGGGAUGGAUGAGCCCGCGUUGGAUUAGCUAGUUGGUGGGGUAAAGGCCUACCAAGGCGACGAUCCAUAGCUGGUCUGAGAGGAUGAUCAGCCACAUUGGGACUGAGACACGGCCCAAACUCCUACGGGAGGCAGCAGUGGGGAAUAUUGGACAAUGGGCGCGAGCCUGAUCCAGCCAUGCCGCGUGAGUGAUGAAGGCCUUAGGGUUGUAAAGCUCUUUCACCGAUGAAGAUAAUGACGGUAGUCGGAGAAGAAGCCCCGGCUAACUUCGUGCCAGCAGCCGCGGUAAUACGAAGGGGGCUAGCGUUGUUCGGAAUUACUGGGGCGUAAAGCGCAUGUAGGCGGAUAUUUAAGUCAGGGGGUGAAAUCCCAGAGCUCACUCUGGGAACUGCCUUUU